rnacentral:rRNA from 1 species
ACCCUCGCCUUUAGUUACCAUCAUUCAGUUGGGUACUCUAAAGGAACCGCCGGUGAUAAGCCGGAGGAAGGUGGGGAUGACGUCAAGUCCUCAUGGCCCUUACGCGCUGGGCUACACACGUGCUACAAUGGCGACUACAGUGGGUUGCAAUCCCGCGAGGGUGAGCUAAUCUCCAAAAGUCGUCUCAGUUCGGAUUGUACUCUGCAACUCGAGUACAUGAAGGCGGAAUCGCUAGUAAUCGCGGAUCAGCAUGCCGCGGUGAAUACGUUCCCAGGCCUUGUACA